CACGCCUUCCUGGAUGGAGAUUUACUGUGAAGCCGGAUCAGGCAACACUCCUUCCUCAAGUGUCCCCAGCGUACCUGUGGCACCUGGAAAGCUGCCGCUAACAGCUUCUGCUGAACACGCAGACACAGAGGCUGUUCAGACCACAGUGAUGUGACCAGCUUGGACAUCCAUCCUCUCCUGCCCUCGGAUAUUGACGUGCUCCUGGUUCUCAGGCCUUCAGGCUUGGAAUAGAAUCUACACCACCAGGUUUUCUCAGCCCCCAGCAUGCAGAUGGCAGAUCAUAGGACUUCUCAGUCUCCAUAAUCAUGUGAACAAAUUACCUCAUAAUAAAUCUCUAUAGAUCUAUGUCAGUAUCCACACCUAUAUGUAUUCUAUUGGUUCUGUUCUCUGGAGACCUGUUGAUACAGUUUGGCUGUGCCCGCCCCCCUGCCCCGCCCUGCCCAAAUCUCAUCUUGAAUUGCAGUUCCCAUAAUCCCCACAUGUUGUGAGAGGGACCCGGCGGGAGAUAAUUUAAUUAUGGGGGUGAUUACCCUCAUGUUGUUCUCAUGAUAGUGAGUGAGUUCUUACAAUAUCUGAUGGUUUGGCUUUUCCCCGUUUGCUCAUUCUUCUCUCUCCUGCUGCUAUGUGAAAUCGGACUUGUUUGCUUCCCCUUCUGCCAUGAUUGUAAG
rnacentral:lncRNA from 10 species